rnacentral:lncRNA from 1 species
UGCUUCGGCUCGCGCACGGUGCGUGUACCCACUGACCUGUGCCCACUGUCUGGCACUCCCUAGUGAGAUGAACCCGGUACCUCAGAUGGAAAUGCAGAAAUCACCCUUCUUCUGCGUCGUUCACGCUGGGAGCUGUAGACCGGAGCUGUUCCAAUUCGGCCAUCUUGGCUCCUCCCCUGGACUCUUUAUUUCUUAAGGAGCUCAUUCUAAGGAUUAUGGAGAUAAACCAUGGAAAGGGAUUUCAUUGUAAUACCCACGAUUGAGAUGGUUGGAGAUAAAGCCAUUAUCCAGUGAUAGUUCAUCAUGUUGAAGGAAUCCUGCUUGUUCCUGCCCUCACAAGGAUGCAGCCUUCAAGGUGUCAUCUUGGAAGCAGAGACUGGGCCCUCAUCAGACACCAAACCCGUUGGCAUCUUAAUCUUGGAUUUCCUAGCCUCCAGAACCACUUAAGUGCUGUGGUGCAAUCAUGGCUCUUUGUAACUUCAAACUCCCAGGCUCGAGUGAUCCUCCCAUGUCAGCCUCCUGAGUAACUGGGACUACAGGUGCACACCAUUAUGCCCAGGUAAUUUUCACCUUUUUGUAGAGAAGGGGUCUAACUAUGUUGUCCAGGCUGGUCUCAAAUUCCUGGUCUCAAGCAAUCCUCCUGCCUUGGCCUCCAAAAUUUCUGGGAUUACAGGCAUUGGUAACCAUGCUCAGGCCCUCUGUUUAUUUUUUAACUGCAUGUUUUUAACAUUAAACCAUAUAUUGCUUGCUUUUGCAUGUUGUCUUUAACUUUCCAUAAGUGGAUUAAUACCAUAUGUAUUCAGGACUUAGUGUUGUUCGCUCAGUAUUAGGUUUCAGGGGUUUAGAUAUAUUGAUGCAGGUAAUUAAUUGACUUUCCAUUGCUCUCUAGCAUUUCAUUGUAUAAUCACACCCUGAUUUACUUGUAUAUUAUAUUUUUAAUUGCUACUUGCUAUUAUAAACAAUGCAGUUUUGAAUGUUCUUAAUUACAUCUCCUGAUGUGUGUGUGUACAUAUUUCUUUAGGAUUUAAACCUAGAAAUUGAAUUUGUGGAUCAUAAGAAUUGUAACUGUUCAAAUAUAACAGACAACUUCAAACUACUUCCCAAAGUAGUUUAACAACUUACAUACUACAAGCAUUGUGUACAUGUAUCAAUAUUCUGUUUGCAUUGCAUGCUUGCCAACACUUGCCAUUGUUAGACUUUUACAUUUUUUGCACAUUUAGUAGGUAUGUAAUGUUACCUUGUAGUUUUAAUUUACAUUUCUCUGAAAACUAAUGCUGUUUGUUACUAAUUUUUAUUAACUAUUUGAAUUUCCUCUUUCUGAAGCAUCUGUUUAGUUAUUUGGCCUAUUUUUUCUCCUGUUUUCUUAUUUAUUUGUAGAAGUUUUUUGGAAGUUCUGGAUUCUAGUACUUUGUUAUAUAUGUUGAAAAUACAUGUUAAAACAAUAGACACCAUUCAGCUAAGAAGAGAAAUUGAAUGUGAUCCAAUUUUUAAUCUUACCUUGUAUGGCUUACACUUUUUGUAUUAUUAACAAAAAGUUCAUUCAUGACUGUUUAUAAAAAUAUCUUCCUAUAUUAUCUAUCUUCUUUGAAAGGUGGUUUAUAAUCAGUGAUGGGACUUUGACAUGUGUUCUUGAAUGUAUGUUUCUGAAAACUUUGAAAAUUGUGACAUUAGCAUACAGGAAAAACACUUUCAGGAUUCAUGGAAAGCUGGAAUGUUCAUUAAUAUCAAGCAGAACAGAGUUGACUGAAUGAACUGAACUAAUAUGAGACUAAAGUAAUCUUUUUUGACUUUGCUUAAAACAUUGUUGAUCCUUUGUUUUGUUUUUCAGAGUCAAGGAUACUUUCUUUUGAGCUAUUUACAGCUUUUAACAAUUGAGUAAAGUAUACUCCUGUGAACAGAAUUUGUUUCUCUCUACCUGAUUUAUCCAGAAUUUGGAAACUAAUUACUGACCUUGCUCAUUCCUGCGAACCAAUCAGUAAUCUCUGACUGCAGCUCAAAAGAAACAAGAGAGAUGGGUCAUGUAAAAAUCAAGAUCAGUAUUCUAAUUCUGGACACAUAUUGGAAUCAGCUAGCAUCCCGUAUCAGCUUGGUUCCAACAGUUGCCCACUUCAUAGAAAGACUUCUUCUCAUUUAGUUUACUUGGGAUAGUUUUACUUAUUUUACUUUACUGUUGUGGAAUAUUUUGCUCUUGUACUCUUUGUGUAGAAAUACAGGGUAAGCUUACCAAAUGUUUUCUUAAAUUGAACACUUAUUUAUCUUCUAGAUAUCCUUUUGUUGGAACUUAAGAGUUAUAAAUGGCCCAUGCCAUACCGAUGUUUUCUGACUGAGCUCUUCUCUAUCUUGAAUGCAAGAGACCCAUUAGUUAGGCAGGAAUGUUAUCCCCCCUAAUUAGCCUGAACAAAUUAUAGAAGAUGGAUCUUCAUCCCUCUACAACCCUUAGCAUUAAGAGUUUUCUUAUAAAACGGAGGGGAAAAAUGUCAGAGACAUUUGAACCAGAGCAACUUUGUCUUGAAUAGGGGACAGGUAAAAUGAGGCUGAGACCUAUUAGGCUGCAUUCCCAGGAGGUUAAGGCAUUCUAAGUCACAGAAUGAGGCAGGAGGCCAGCCCAAGAUGCAGGUCAUACAGACCUUGCUGAUAAAACAGGUUGCAGUGAAGAAGCCAGCUAAAACCCAUCAAAACCAAGAUGGAGAUGAGAGUGACCUCUGUUGGUCCACACUGCUACACUCCCACCAGCGCCAUGACAGUUUACAAAUGCCAUGAGAACAUCAGGAAGUUACCUUAUAUGGUCUAAAAAGGGGAGGCAUGAAUAAUCCAUCCCUUGUUUAGCAUAUAAUCUAGAAAUAACCAUAAAUAUGAGCAACCAGCAGCCCUCGGGGCUGCUCUGCCUAUGGAGUACCCAUUCUUUUAUUCCUUUAUUUUAUUAAUAAACUUGCUUUCACUUAAAAACAAAUAUAUAUAUAUUAUCUAAUAAAAGUUUUAUCAUACUUAGGUUCCUAAUGCCAUGGAUUAUUUUCUGUGAAAGGCAUGAGUUAAAAAUACAGAUUUAUUUAUUUUUUCCAUAUGGAUAACCAAUUGUCCCAGCAGUGUUUACAAUAUAUUUCAUCUUUCUACCACUGAUCUGAAAUGUCACCUUUGUCAUAAAUCAGGUUUCUUUAUAUUGGUGGGCUUUUUCUAGACUAUUUUCUUUGGACUAUUUUUUGGUCUCUGAGGUAAUGCCACACUGUCUUAAUUUCAAUAAUUUAAAAAUAAAAAUUCUUGAAAUCUAGUGAUACACUCCAAUUUAUUAUUUAGAAGAGUCAGCAAUUCCUAGUCCUUUAGUCUUUCAUUUUUAAUCAACUCGUCAAGUUCUACAUAAAGAAAAUCUAGUUAGAAACUGUAUUUUAUUGACAAAAAGAGAGAUUCAAUAUCUUUAUGAUGCAGAAUCCUUCCACUUAUUAAUAUUCAAUUUAUUUAAUAUCUCUCUAGUUUAAUUCUUUAAUUUUUAAGUAAGUUUUAUAAUUUUCUUCAUACAUUUUUCACAGAUUUUUGUUAGAUUUGUUCCUUAGGCUCCAUAUAUUUCUAUAAAACAUUAAAUGACACUAAAAAUGUUGUACAUUCUAAAUUUGUGAUUCGUGCAUAAAAAUGUAAUUGCUUUUUGUUUGCUACUUUGUAUCUUGCAAGCUUGCUACGCUAUCUUCUAAUCAAUUCUAAUAAUAUGUCUACUGAUUUUCCUUGGCUUUCUAAUAUGUUGAUCAUUAAGGAAAUCUUUAUUUUCUAAUUUCCAAUGCAUAUACUUUGAUUUAUUUUUCUUGCUUUAUUGUCCUGGCCAUCACAACUAGUACAAUCAUGAAUAGACGUAAUGAUAGUCAGUACCAUUGUCUUGUUUCUGAUGCUACAGGGCAAGUUUUCAGUAUUUCAUUGUUAAGAAUCAUGUUAGGUAUAGGUUUUUUUUCUAAUUACAUUUAUCCAGUAAAAACGUUUUUCUAUUUCUUGUGUGCUAAGAAAAUCUAUCAUGCUUUCUUUGGAAAAGACCCUAUGCCAUCUUGUUCUCAAGAAAUAGUAACUUUAUAGGUAGAAUUGAUUGUUCAUAGUUAUUUUUGUCCUCACAUUUAAUGUAAACUUUAAUUCUGGCUUUGAUUGAGUCAACUAUCAGCCUACCCUUCACUCAUUGACAAAUAAUUUGCUUUUCAAUUCUUGUAAGAUUUUUUUCUUUGUCUUUGGUUCUGCAGUUUUAUUAUUGUAAGUCUAGCGAGAAUUUCUUUUCCUUUAUUUACCUUGAGAAUUUUGAGGCUUUUUGAAUAUGUAGAUUGAUGUCUUUCAUUUGUAUAAGACAAUGCUCAGAUUUAUUUUUUUCAAAUAUUUCCUCUACCUUAGUUUUUUUCUUCUUCUGUAUAUGUUUCUGUAAACUCAAAUCUUAGCUUGAGUUUUUCAGAGCAUGCCAAUAGGGUGAAUUAAGCUGCAGACCCAUGUGAAGCUGGAUUUUGUUUAUAAAUGUUAUUAACUUAACUUUGCCUUUACUAUAAAGAUUGGACAAUUGGGAGGCCACAGAUUUUUAGGGGUUUUCUCUUAGACUCCUCAUUAGUUUACUAAUUCCAUUUUUAUAUAUUCCUCAUCUAUUAUUAUCCAUUGAAUUUUACAUUUCAAUUACAUGUUUUAUUUUCAUAAAUUGUCUCUGGUUCUUUUUCAAAUCUGCUUGGCCAUUUCCUUUAAUAACAUAGUAAUUUUUAUAUUCAUAUUUUAAUACCACUUUUAUUUUAAAAAUAUAUUAGAUGUAUUUAUUUAAUAUUUUAUUCUGAUAAAUCCAUUUCUGCUAUUCUAUGCUUGUUUUCUCAUUUGGUGUCUUCUUUGGCAGAGUAGGAGUAGGUUAUGCAAUUUGAUCUUAUCUUUUUCUAAAUAUUAUUUGUGGGAAAUACUCCAGUCCAAGAUGAAGGUACGUGCUCAAGAGAGUUUCAGUUUGCCUCUGUAUAGCAUCUGUGUGUAUUACCUACUUUGGAACAAAUGUAAAUUCAGUUUUUGGUGUAAGAUUUUCAGAAUAACAAUUCAUGUGAAUUUAGGCUACAAACCCAUGUGAAAACUAGCUUUUACUUAUGAAAACUCAGGGUAAUGUGUUUACCUUCACUUUUACUUAUAAAUAUUGGACCUCUGGGGUCACAGCUUUUUAAGGAUUUUCUCUUAGACUCCUUACCCUGGCAGGCCUUAGGCCUUUACAAGUCCUUUGUGUCUUGUUCUUUGAGUUCUGGAAGAUCAUGUUAGAAACAUCGCAGGUUUACUUUGUGUAGUAAAUCUUUCAGGAUUAAACCUAGCCUCAAUAAUUAGCUUAAUACUCUAUUUCCCACUUUAAUUUAGAUUUUACUUUUAAUAUUCCUUAUUUUCUUUUGAAUUAAUCAAUUUAAGAAGAUAUCUGGCAUUUUCAGAAGUUUUUCAGUGGGAAAGUGGGUGUUCCAUAUUUCCAGAAAGGAAAGUCUCAGUAUUUGCUUUUCGACUGGCAAAUAUCAAUAUAAAACUUAGAAAAGAAAAAAAGUUACCAUGGUUUUUUAGUAAUUCCUUAUAGCAAGGAUGUUCUCAGCACAGGCAUGCCAGGAGUUAGUGAUUCCUGACUAUGGAGAGUUGUGUGGGACAGAGACCAAUGAGAGCUUCUCCCAGUGGAAAGGUUAGUUUUGGUGAGGGCCCCAGGGAGUUUCACUGUGCAAUGUUUAAAGUGGCAGGAAUAAUGUUAGCAUGUGUAUCCCAGAUAGGAUUGCUGGAUAAAAUCAGGACAUCCAGUUAAAUUUGAAUUUCAGAUGAACAAUAAUUUUUUAAAACAUAUGUUCCCAUAUUCUCUUGCAUCCAGUCAUCUCUCAUUACAAAUAUCCAAGUAGCAUUGGAUAUGCUAGAAUAUAUGAUUUAUGAACACUCCAUUGUGACUUACUGAAAGUCUCAAAGAAAUAGUCUUCAAAUUUCAGUGUGCAAUACGAAUCACCUGGAAGAUCUUGUCAAACUACAGAAGCUGAUUCAGUAGGUCUGGGAUGGAGUAUGAGAUUCUGCCUUCCUAACAUGGAUGAGAUCUGCUGUGUCAACAUGGAAACUGCUCAGCAACAAUCAGAAGAACAGAUGGCCAUCUUCUGUCAGUACUUGAAGACUGUUUCUAAGAAACAUUAAGCCUCCAUCAGGCUCACUUGUUAAUGCAAAAGUCCCACUCAGGACAGAAGCUGGGACAAUCUUUGAAGUUGUCAGGUAUUGAGUUUGAGCAAAUGGAAUGGAAUGUGCUGGAACUGGUCCUUGCAGCAUCCUCCUGACACCUUGGGUCUAUUUGCAUAGUGCAGGUGGCUGAGAUGUCACUAGGCUCUUGAGAGACUUCAGGAACAAGUUGAGGGUUCUGCCUGUCAUCUGAGUUUAUGUACCAUGUACAAGACAACCUCACACUGUUUCUAACAUGAAAUGUUAAAAAUUGUUAUAUCUUUUUCAAAAGGGAGAACCCUUUCUGAUUAGUAAGAAGAAUCGGCCAGGCGCAGUGGCUCACACCUGUAAUCCCAGCACUUUGGGAGGCCGAGGUGGGUGGAUCACUUGAGGUCAGGAGUCCAAGACCAGCCUGGCUAACAUGAUGAAACCCCGUCUCUACUAAAAAUACAAAAAUUAACCGGGAGUGGUGGCAGGUGCCUGUAAUCCCAGCCACUAGGGAAGAUGAGGCACACGAAUCUCUUGAAUCCCGGAGUUGGAGAUUGUAGUGAGCCAAGAUCGCGCCACUGCAGUCCAGCCUGGGUCACAGAGUGAGACUCUCUCAAAAAAUAAAAAUAAAUUUAAAAAAAUAAAAAGAAUCUUAAUUUUUAAAGUUAGUUGAAAAUGUGAAUCCUUUUUAGGUUAAAAUGGGCCUUGCUCUUUUGUUUACUCAGGGCAAAGUGGAAAGGAGGAGACAAUCACUGGUAGGUCUCUGGUAUGCGUGUUCUAGAGUGGGUACAAAUGACCAUUUGAUGAGUUGUUUCUAGGAACUUUAUACAUACCAUGAGAACUGAUGAAAAAUCUCAUUAAUUCCUUAGGAACAUUACCUCCCUUAAUGAAAGGAAAACAGCCUAUUGGCUCUCUAAUAGUAAUCAAGUGAAGUGUGGAUAAUUCUAGACUUUUAUUUUUAAUCACCACUUAUAGGAAGCUGUACUUUUUACCACUAGGGUGUAACCAGAAACUAUUACAAGCAAUUUAAUUGCAAUGUGGAUCCCCCUUUUCUGUAAAGAUUUCAUUCUAACUUGGGAUUACCUUCUUGAUCAAGGAGGCUUUAUCAGAUAAUCCUGACAUCUCAGUUACAGAGCAAGCAAAACUUUGCCUCCAUGCUCUUAGGUCCUCUGGUUGGGCCUGAGAAUUAAAUUGGCAUAAAAUAUAUUAACAGGAGAAAAAUACACAGACUUUUUACAUGUACAUGGGAGCUGCCAUAGGAAAAUAAAGACCCUAAGAAGUGGUAAAAACCCAAAUGCUUAUAUAGCAGAUUGAAUAAAGAGUGACAAUUGUGGAAAAGUAACUAAAAUGUGUGGGGAGGCUCAAGGAAGAUAAGAGUUAUUUUAACAAGGUCUGUUUGUACAGGUUUUUUUUUAGUCUCAACUCCUCAUCUCCGGUGACAAGAAUGUUUCUUCUCUUCUGGUACAGGGAGCGCAUCUUUCACAUGGGAGUUUUUGUCUCCUGUUUGCAGGAAGAAAAGAGGAGAUUGGAAUGCCCUUCUUGCAUUUGCUGUUUUUCAAGGGCCUUUAGCUCAAAAUAAUCUUUACACCAAACUAGCAUAUUUUGGGGUGACAUAUUCUGCCACCCUUCACAGUCUGUGAUGGUUAAUUUUAUGUGUCAGCUUCUCUAGGGUAAGGGAAGUCCAUAUAACUGGUAAAACAUUAUUUCUGGGUGUGUCUUUGAGGAUGUUGCUGGAAAAGAUUAGCAUUUGAGUCAGUGGACUAAGUAAGAAAAUCACUAACAUGGGCAGGCAUCGUCCUAUCCAUUGAGGGUCAGAAUAGAACAAAAAGGCAGAGAAAGAAUGAAUUCUCUUUUUUUGAGCUGGGGCAUCUAUCUUCUCCUGACUUCAGGUAUCAGAGUUUCUGGUUCUCAGGUCUUUGGACUUGGCCUGAAUUUCACUGCCUGCUUUCCUGUUUCUCCAGUUUGCAGAAGGCAGAUCAUGAGACUGCUAACCCUCUAUUAGCACAUUAGUCCAUUCCCAUAAUUGAUGGGGGGUGUGUGUGUGUGUGUGUGUGUGUGUGUGUGUGUGUGUGUGUUGGGAGCUAUCUCCUCUUUUGUUUUUUUUUUUCUCUGAAGAACACUAACAUACAGCUUCUUAUACAAAUAAACUGAUGUUUAAAAACUUCUAUGUUCAUUUAAAUGAUUUUAAAUUAUGUAUUAAACCUCUAUGUUCAAUAAAUAAACUACCACGCUUAAAUUUUUAC